GGUUGAUGGCCCUUUAAGAGGCACUAGCCAGCUCUGGUUGCCAUGGAGACAGCUGGACACAGACCGGGUAGAGGCCCACAGCAUGUCCUCCAAAGUUUACUCCACAGAUGAGGAGGAGCUACAGAUGCUGUUCUUCUCUGAGACGCUGGCCAUGGUCUCAGACACCGGGGAGCCUCAGGGAGAGCUGACCAUUGACGUGCAGAGAGGGAGAUACCGGGAAAAGCUCGGCGUGCUGACAUACUGCCUUUUCGUGCAUGCCUUUAGCAGAGGCUUCUUGGACAAAAUGCUCUGCGGAAAUUCCCUCCUGGGCUAUCUCUCAGAGAAGCUGGAGCUCAUGGAACAGCACAGCCAAGACUUCAUCAAGUUCCUCAUCCUCCCCAUGGAACGGAAGACAAGUUUGCUGAAGCAGGAUGAUCAGCUGGCUGUGACCAGAAGCAUCAAGGAGGGUGAGGUAAGGAUGAGAGGCAGAUGGGAGUUGCACUCCACACUGUGAACCCAGAGUAUCUGAGACAGGUCCCAAUCAAUUUAGAGACUUUAUUUUGCCAAGGUUAAGGACACAUCCAUGACACAGCCUCAGGAGGUCCUGUGGACAUGUGCCCAAAGUGAUUGGGGCACAGCUUGUUUUUA
rnacentral:lncRNA from 1 species